rnacentral:lncRNA from 1 species
ACUUAUAUGGCCACUAAGGUAACCAGCAUGUUUUAGUGGCAAAAUUAAACUAUUGCCACUAUAAUUAAAUAUAUUUUACAGCUAUUUUUAAAAACUCCUACAAUUGAUGUGCAUAAAAUAACACUAUAAUACAAUAGUGGCAAAAAAUAAAAUUUUGCCACUAAUAAACGAAAUAUUUAUUGAAAAAUAAAAAGCCACGAAAAUAAAGAGUACUUUUAAUGGUCAAACCUAAAGUCUGCCACUAACAUUCUGUACAUUUAUUAGAAAAUAAGCCAUCACAUAAAUCACCUUCUCUUUUUAGUGGCGAAAUUUAAAUCUUGCCACUCAAAAGUACCCAUAAUUUGUGGCCAUUUUAAAAGAUUUUUCAUAAUUAGUAUAUAGAAAAUCAUAUCAAAUUAAAAUAGUGACAAA